AAUCAACGCUGGCGGCGUGCCUCAGACAUGCAAGUCGAACGAUUAAACUUCCUUUCGGGGAAGAUAUAAAGUGGCGUACGGUGAGUAACACGUAGGUAAUGUACCUUUGGGUGGGGAAUAACUUAGGGAAACUUAAGCUAAUACCGCAUAAUGCAGCGGCUCGAUAUCGAGGCAGUUGUUAAAGGAGUAAUCCGCCUAAAGAGCAGCCUGCGGCAGAUUAGCUAGUUGGUAAGGUAAUGGCUUACCAAGGCUACGAUCUGUAACCGACCUGAGAGGGUGGUCGGUCACACUGACACUGAAUAACGGGUCAGACUCCUACGGGAGGCAGCAGUCGGGAAUUUUGGGCAAUGGGCGAAAGCCUGACCCAGCAACGCCGCGUGAAGGAUGAAGUCUCUCGGGAUGUAAACUUCGUAAGAAUAGGAAGAAUAAAUGACGGUACUAUUUGUAAGGUCCGGCUAACUACGUGCCAGCAGCCGCGGUAAU
rnacentral:rRNA from 1 species